GAUAUCAACUGAAAAAGUCAUCAACAACAAAGUUGAAUAACUCAUCAAGAUCUAAAACUUUUAUUUUGGUCAUUUCUUCGUACGACAAAGUGAUAGUAACAUUGUUCACAAAAUUGACAUAUCUCUUAUCUGGUUCUAUAACCUAUAACACAUAUAUGUAAAAUUUAUGAAUAAUAUUUACUAACAUUUCGUCGGAUGAAGAAAUAACAAAAAUAAAAGUUUUAGAUCUUGAUGAGUUAUUCAACUUUGUUGUCGAUGACUUUUUCAAUUGAAAUC
rfam:Oryza nivara chromosome 12, whole genome shotgun sequence.